GGUGAGGAUGCGGAGGUGGGGGAAGCAGGCGGGUCGCGCCUUCGGACCCAGGACGCCCCCUGCCAACCGUCGCCGUCCGCAGAUCCCCAGGAGUUGGGGGCGGGUCGCGGAACCCCCGAGGAGGUGCUCUAGAAAGUUCCCUAACUGUUCUUCGAGGCCAGCGGAGAAGGAAGCAUUCAUCAAAACCUCAUCCUUUUGAGACACAACCACACAAAACCUCCUGGAAACACCAUGUUUGCCACCUAAAGCUGGGAUGCCUUCUUAAAGACAAAGACGAUACCCCUUCUGUUUGGACAGAAAAUGAACGGGGCCAGCUAGGACCCCAGCCUCCCUCUCCUAGCCCCCCCUUGUCAAUUCCUCUGCCUUCCAACUUUGUAACGCCCUCCUUCUAUCAACAGAGGAAAAGGGCUAGGGCCCC